rnacentral:rRNA from 1 species
CCUACGGGCGGCUGCAGUGGGGAAUAUUGGACAAUGGGGGGAACCCUGAUCCAGCCAUGCCGCGUGUGUGAAGAAGGCCCUCGGGUUGUAAAGCACUUUCAGUGAGGAAGAACGCCUGGUGGUUAAUACCCAUCAGGAAAGACAUCACUCACAGAAGAAGCACCGGCUAACUCCGUGCCAGCAGCCGCGGUAAUACGGAGGGUGCGAGCGUUAAUCGGAAUUACUGGGCGUAAAGCGCGCGUAGGUGGCUUGAUAAGCCGGUUGUGAAAGCCCCGGGCUCAACCUGGGAACGGCAUCCGGAACUGUCAAGCUAGAGUGCAGGAGAGGAAGGCAGAAUUCCCGGUGUAGCGGUGAAAUGCGUAGAGAUCGGGAGGAAUACCAGUGGCGAAGGCGGCCUUCUGGACUGACACUGACACUGAGGUGCGAAAGCGUGGGUAGCAAACAGGAUUAGAUACCCUAGUAGUC